rnacentral:rRNA from 1 species
UAGCCGAACUGAGAGGUUGAUCGGCCACAUUGGGACUGAGACACGGCCCAAACUCCUACGGGAGGCAGCAGUAGGGAAUCUUCCACAAUGGACGCAAGUCUGAUGGAGCAACGCCGCGUGAGUGAAGAAGGCUUUCGGGUCGUAAAACUCUGUUGUUGGAGAAGAAUGGUCGGCAGAGUAACUGUUGUCGGCGUGACGGUAUCCAACCAGAAAGCCACGGCUAACUACGUGCCAGCAGCCGCGGUAAUACGUAGGUGGCAAGCGUUAUCCGGAUUUAUUGGGCGUAAAGCGAGCGCAGGCGGUUUUUUAAGUCUGAUGUGAAAGCCCUCGGCUUAACCGAGGAAGUGCAUCGGAAACUGGGAAACUUGAGUGCAGAAGAGGACAGUGGAACUCCAUGUGUAGCGGUGAAAUGCGUAGAUAUAUGGAAGAA